UCGGGAAUUUUGCGCAAUGGACGAAAGUCUGACGCAGCAACGCCGCGUGAGGGAUGACGGCCUUCGGGUUGUAAACCUCUUUUGUCAGGGACGAUGAUGACGGUACCUGACGAAUAAGCCACGGCUAACUACGUGCCAGCAGCCGCGGUAAUACGUAGGUGGCAAGCGUUGUCCGGAUUUACUGGGCGUAAAGAGCGCGCAGGCGGUCGUUCAAGUCGCGUGUGAAAGCCCCCGGCUCAACUGGGGAGGGUCACGCGAUACUGAUCGACUCGAAGGCAGGAGAGGGUAGUGGAAUUCCCGGUGUAGUGGUGAAAUGCGUAGAUAUCGGGAGGAACACCAGUGGCGAAGGCGACUACCUGGCCUGUUCUUGACGCUGAGGCGCGAAAGCUAGGGGAGCAAACG
rnacentral:rRNA from 1 species